CGACCGCUGGCGGCGUGCUUAGCACAUGCAAGUCGAACGGAAAGGCCCUGCUUUUGUGGGGUGCUCGAGUGGCGAACGGGUGAGUAACACGUGAGUAACCUGCCCUUGACUUUGGGAUAACUUCAGGAAACUGGGGCUAAUACCGGAUAGGAGCUCCUGCUGCAUGGUGGGGGUUGGAAAGUUUCGGCGGUUGGGGAUGGACUCGCGGCUUAUCAGCUUGUUGGUGGGGUAGUGGCUUACCAAGGCUUUGACGGGUAGCCGGCCUGAGAGGGUGACCGGCCACAUUGGGACUGAGAUACGGCCCAGACUCCUACGGGAGGCAGCAGUGGGGAAUAUUGCACAAUGGGCGGAAGCCUGAUGCAGCAACGCCGCGUGCGGGAUGACGGCCUUCGGGUUGUAAACCGCUUUCGCCUGUGACGAAGCGUGAGUGACGGUAAUGGGUAAAGAAGCACCGGCUAACUACGUG
rnacentral:rRNA from 1 species